GUCUUUCUGGAAUUUGUGCCAUGUCAGUUACUAAUGAUGUAAAUACUUUAAAAAUGGUAACAAACAAUUCACAAAGAUGGUUUUCUACAGAUUUGGUAGAAGUGCAAUUGCAAGCCAAAUCUGGCUUUUUACCAACUGGAAAUCUGGAGUGCCAGAAUUCAGAGGAGAUGAGAAAGUAAUGUUAUUGAUGCAGACACUGUGAUGCUGUAUUUGCUGCAAAGUAUCCAGGAGCAUGUCUAGAUAGCAGGAACUUGAAAGUGUGUACUACCAGGAAAGUUGUUUCCUUCUGUGUGUUGCCUUCCCUUGGAGUCUGCAAGUUUACCUGGAGGUACUCCUAGCAGUACCAGGAAAAAAAGACAAGAAAUUGAUGAUAAAUGCUAGUUUACAGGGUAGAAGACAAACUGUUUAUAAAGCUGGUUGACAGCAGGGUUAAGAGCAUUCAGUAGUGAAAAGGAAGCUUUAGGGGUAGACUCCAGUGACUUUUGGCGCUGCAAACACAAAAACAAAGCUCAUGGCUGAUAGAUUUGUUUUUAUUAUUAUAGAACAGAUGAACUAAAAUAAGCCAACAAUAUAAUUUUAUGCCAACAGCCAUCUUUCUAGCACAGGCAGUGACGGACUCAAUGUGCCCUUCUCCUCCCUCCCCGGGCCUCCAUUCAAUGGGAAACGUGUGGUGGUGGCUCUUGCACAUUGGUUUUAGACCAGUGAUGUUACUCUUUUCCCAGGCACAUCUUUAUAAAUAAAAAGAGGAGGCGGAGGGAGCAGGGGAGAGAGCAUAUAUGUUGUAGGAGCAAUAAGCAGAAAGGCUCGUGGAUCCUCUUGCACGUUCACAUGUUGUGACCAAGUAGAUGUAACAACUGGAGAAUCAUGCCCACUCUCAACACGUAGCAAGCCCCUAGUUGCUGCUCUAGUCAAGCCAGGAGUUUCUUCCCAUUCCAAGCUAGCAAAGGGCAAGAUGCACUCAACUGGGAAGCUUUUGGCAGGGGUCAGGGGCAGUCUAUGUAAAACCAAACCAGAAAACCACCCCGCCCCCCAAAAAACCCAAAUAAAUCUGCAUUUUAAGCCACUUCAAAGUAAAAGUCACUUCUUAUAAUAUAAUAGGUAUUUUUAAAAUGGCAAGACCACCAUCCUCGGAAGAUGUAGGGCUUGCACUCAAGACCAAAGAAAGAAAAACCAAAACAACCAAACCAAAACAAAGAAAUAAGAGUGGCCCCACUCUCAGGCUUGGCUCUUCUCUAAAAACAGCACUCACCAUCCACCUGAAUAGGUAAAAGGAAGAGUGGACAGAAAAUAAAAUAAAAAUUGGUGCAACUUCUCGCCAGGUGGCGCAUUAAACCAAAGCUCCAUACAGUCCCGUAUGACUACACGUCCUGUGGUGGCAGCAUAAUUUUUUUUCAGCUUUCAUAGCUGUAUAUGCCUGUAUGUAUAUCUGAACGUAUACAUACACAUACACACAUAAUAUAUAAUAUUGUUUUUAAUGUUAGUUUUGAUCCUGGAGGAGGCUCAUCUCUCUUUCACGUGGUUCUGUGCUCCUGCGCUGUUGCUGCUCCCAUUGCCGCUCCCAUUACUGCUGCUCCCGCUGCUGCUGCACAGGACCUCCGUGAGGUCGUCCAUGACGGUGGUCUCUUUAAGGUCCACCAGGUUGAACUCCCUGAUGAAUAGGAUAAAAUGUGUGUAGAGCGUGUUUAAGUGUCCGUGCAGCUCCAGUGCCAAAGUCUCCUUAAAGUGUGAGGAGUAGAUAUGGGCCAGCACGUGGAACAGGUACUUGCAGAUCUUCUUCACUAAGGACUCAAACGAGUUUGGAAAUUCUUUGCCUGAAAGGAAGACAGAAACACCGUAGCAGUUCCAGCCGGUCACCUCCAGUCCCACAGCAGCAUUUAUUCUGGCAAAAUUGGGCCUGAAAAAUCCUGUUCUUAUUUAAUCUUUGGAGGGGAAUGGAGACUAAACAAUCUGAGGAAAAAAAGCCCCGUUAGGCAGGGAAGAGGAGCGAUGCUGCUGGCAAUGCAAUUUAUUUCCCACUUAAUGCAUCAGGGUUCUGAAAGAAACGCUAAUAACAAGGUUAAAUUUUACUGGCAACACGCUGUGUUUAAUACCCACAUGGCGACUGUUCUCUGAACACAGGCUGCUUCCUGGAACAAAAAGCUGUACCAGUGGUAAAACAUUAGCCAAGGAGUGGGAGAUCUUCAUCCCAAUUUGUAUGCCAGAAGUGUAAUUCUUUGACACUGCAGGAACGAACCCAAAUUAAAAUAACCCCUUAAAAAUAUACUGUGAAAGCUGCCUGGUAUUAACAUUCAAGCUGCAUGUCAACUUUCACCUUGCUUUUUUGCACCUCCAAAGAGCCGUAUGAAGCAGCUACCCAAAGGCUAGCGUACCGUAUUUUGUUGGAAAGACGUCCUCGUCUGUCACAAGUUUCUGCACUGAGCUCAUGACGAAGUCGACGUACUGCGGAGCAGUGCAUUUGAUCUUCUUCCCCCGCUCGUCAUACCAGUAGUACUGUCUGUGGAGAGAGCCCACAGCGUCACGUUACGCCCUGCAUCCUCAGCUGAACUCCUAAGAGGGCUGAUCAACAAUGAGCUGCAAGGACCCGUAGGUGCCACUUGGAAAGGGGAGUUUUAUGCAUACUGACCAUCAAAAUUGUUCUGAAGCCAUUAAAGAAAAAUGUUACACAGCAACUGAGAAGCUCUUAUUUACAGUGUGUUGUCACUGCCCAGAAAGAUUGAUCCAGGACCUGAGGCUGGUGGUGUGAAGGCAGUAGCAAUAUGUGAUGACUGUAGACCCUCAGUCUGUACUAGGCCAUAUGAAGACUGGAGGAAAGAGAGCAGAGGAAAUGCAAGAGGAGGAAAGAACAAGACUAUGAACACGCGCUGGAGAGAAAACAACACCCAAAUAACAGGCUUAUUCAUAAUGAAGUGGAUCUCAUAUUCCAUUAUGUUGGACCGUGCUAAUCAAGAGCAGGAGUUUAUGGUAAAUGUUUCUUAUGCUCACCAUAUACAGUACAGCUACAAAGCCUUCUUUCUAAGCGACAGCUAGUCAACAC